CUGAACACCUUGAAACAUAAUGUCUACUGAGGUCUGAUCACCUUGAAAGAUAAUGUCUAAUGAGGUCUGAUCACCUUAAAACAUAAUGUCUAAUGAGGUCUGAACACCUUAAAACAUAAUGUCUAAUGAGGUCUGAACACCUUAAAACAUAAUGUCUACUGAGGUCUGAACACCUUGAAAGAUAAUGUCUACUGAGGUCUGAACACCUUGAAACAUAAUGUCUACCGAGGUCUGAACACCUUGAAACAUAAUGUCUACUGAGGUCUGAUCACCUUGAAAGAUAAUGUCUACAGAGGUCUGAUCACCUUGAAAGAUAAUGUCUACUGAGGUCUGAACACCUUGAAACAUAAUGUCUACUGAGGUCUGAACACCUUGAAAGAUAAUGUCUACUGAGGUCUGAACACCUUGAAACAUAAUGUCUACUGAGGUCUGAUCACCUUGAAAGAUAAUGUCUACAGAGGUCGGAUCACCUUGAAACAUAAUGUCUACUGAGGUCUGAACACCUUGAAACAUAAUGUCUACUGAGGUCUGAACACCUUGAAAGAUAAUGUCUACUGAGGUCUGAACACCUUGAAACAUAAUGUCUACUGAGGUCUGAUCACCUUGAAAGAUAAUGUCUACAGAGGUCGGAUCACCUUGAAAGAUAAUGUCUAAUGAGGUCUGAUCACCUUGAAAGAUAAUGUCUACAGAGGUCUGAUCACCUUGAAACAUAAUGUCUACUGAGGUCUGAACACCUUGAAAGAUAAUGUCUACAGAGGUCGGAUCACCUUGAAAGAUAAUGUCUAAUGAGGUCUUAAGGAUGUCUAUGAUCAAUAGAAAAUGAAAUUACCUCUCAACUGAG